rnacentral:misc_RNA from 1 species
UUUCAGCUUCAGCUCUCUGACGACGAGUUGGGAACCGCGUGGACCGUACAAGUCUUUUCACUAAAACACCGCGCCGUCUCUUUAAACAAUCACUUCCUCCUUCUAGCUUCGCCUUCUUUCCGCUUUCUACAGCUACCUCCCCGUUUAUGAGAGAGUCAGAACGGAGUCGUAAUGGACGCCAAGCACAACCGUUCAAGACCGAAACUCGAUCGCCGAAACGCCAUCAAGAACAUUGUUUACGACCCCUCCUCUUCUCCUUCUUCUUCUGCUGCUGCUGCCGCGUUCUACACCGGUGAGUCCCCUUCACCUCGGAGUCGCUCUCUCGAUUUGGACCCCCGAACCAGCUUUCGUAUCAAGGGAAUUGAUGGUGAAUUCGACCUUAUAUGUCGGUCUUUGGGGUUUUCCGGUCCUGAAGAUUUUGCUAUUCCUACGGCAGUAUGGGAGGCUGAAAAAGUUCGCCGGUCUUCCUUUGAUAAUGGCUCGCGUUUGCGUAAUUCGGCUGAGCCGGACGAGUUAGCUGCUCAAUUUGAAGCUAAGGUUGUAAUUGCUAAGGCUAAUGGUGAGGUUAGUGAUGAAGGUAAUCUGGUUCGUGGGAAGGCAAUUGGAAAUGGUGUAGGUGAUUUCAGUAAACGUGAAGGUGAGUUUUCUAAGUUGAGAAAUGGUUCGAAUUUAGCUGAGUUUGGAAGUGGCGGUGGAUUUGGGCGACAUAGAAUUAGUGUGAGAACCAUUAGAGACCGCGGCAGUGGUGUAGGGAUAAAGGGCGAGAGACCGUCGGUUUUGGCGCCCCUACCGGCGCUGUUGCAGCCACCCGUGGUUGAUCAUGCGAGCUCAACUUGGGAUAUAUUGAAAUCUUUUGCUCCUCAGGAUGUUGAAGAUUUGGAUUCUUCAAUUCUAGCUGGGGAUGAAAGCCCUUCAGAUAAAGGAGAUAGAGUGAUCAAAGAGAAGGAGGAGGAGAAAGAGGAGAAUAAUGAUGUUAGUGAAGAUAGGGAACAAAUGAAUUUGGAGAGGAUCCCGGAGAAAGAAGUCCUUUCUGAAGGUUGCUCGUCUCCGUCAAAUAAUACUGACGAUCACAACGCCGCCGGCAAUGAUCGUGGAGAUUAUAAAAGUUUAACAGUAAUGGAGCCAGUUUAUAGCAUUUCUCCAAAUGGGAAAUUCAGAAGAAGCAUUAGUUCGUGGCAAAAGGGGAAGCUUUUAGGAAGUGGAUCUUUUGGAACAGUGUAUGAAGGAUUCACCGAUGAUGGAUUCUUUUUUGCUGUAAAAGAGGUUUCCUUGCUUGAUCAGGGAAGUCAAGGCAAGCAAAGUAUUUACCAACUUGAGCAGGAGAUUGCUCUUUUAAGUCAGUUCGAACAUGAAAACAUAGUUCAGUAUUACGGCACUGAUAAGGAUGAAUCAAAACUAUAUAUCUUUCUUGAGCUUGUAACUAAAGGCUCCCUCUUGAAUCUCUAUCAAAGAUACAAUCUUCGAGACUCACAAGUUUCUGCAUACACAAGACAGAUUUUGAGUGGUUUAAAAUAUCUUCAUGACCAGAAUGUGGUUCAUAGGUAAUACGGAUAAUAUUAAAUUCUUUGGAUCUCGGAUUGUAUAUUCUUUAUUGUACUGCUUUAAAAUUCUUUUCCAUAUUUUAAAUUUUCCAUCUUUCUGCAUGUUAAAGGCACAUCCAUAUGACCUUAUGUAAAUUUGGUAUUUAUGUUGCUUUUUGUUGUGUAUAAACAUACUCUAGAAUGUUUAAUUUCUUGAAAAAACUGUUUGUGGUAGGCUAGGAGGACGAGGUAAAAUUGUGUGAACCAUAUUAUUCAAAAAAGUAUAAGGGCGAACAACUUAGAAUUGAAGUUAACAUUGUUUUGCUUAUUGUAAUGAACUGAAAGUGUGGAGAAUGAAAGGGGAAUGUAAUGAAGGUGAAAUAAAGAUGUUACUUCCAUUUAAUGGGCUUGCAGAGUCAAGUUUAGGGAAGUGGUGAAGGAUUUAAUCAACGGAGUGAAGAGUGAAGACCUUCUGGUCAUUGGUGGUUAGCUGUGUGAAAUUUCGUUCCUUGGUUUGUAGUGCUAACAAUAUUUUUUAAAAUUACUUUUUUUUUUGUCUCUUUUUAAUUUUCUCUUUAUUUGUCUUCUUAAUAUUCCACUUUCAAGGGAUAUCAAGUGUGCCAAUAUAUUAGUGGAUGCAAAUGGAUCUGUAAAGCUUGCAGAUUUUGGGUUGGCAAAGGCAACCAAGUUAAAUGAUGUUAAAUCUUGCAAAGGGACUGCGUAUUGGAUGGCCCCAGAGGUUGUUAACUUAAAGAAUCGUGGCUAUGGACUCGCAGCUGAUAUUUGGAGCCUUGGAUGUACUGUGUUGGAGAUGUUAACUGGUCGACCACCAUACUCUCACUUGGAAGGGGUGCAAGCAUUGUUUAGGAUUGGCAGGGGUGAACCUCCUCUCGUACCUGAUUCAUUAUCAAAAGACGCCCAGGAUUUCAUCUUUAAAUGCUUGCAAGUAAAUUCAAAUGAUCGGCCCACAGCAACCCAGCUGUUGAGCCAUCCAUUUGUGAAGAGACCACUUCAAACCUUUGUGAACCCUGCUUCUCCUCGUUAGAGCAGCUAAUAGUCAUGAAAAAUUUUGACCAACCGCUGAGGCGCGUGUGUGGAGGAAAGUUAGCACCACUUGCCCUGCUAUCGAUAAUAGUUAAUACUUUCUUCUGAUUGUAGUUGUUGCAUCUAACUGGCAUGUAUAUCAAUAAAAUCUUCAUAGUAACUCUGUUCAUAAUAUUUAAACAUUCACAUCAUCGGCCCAGUUGGCUGCACUCCUUGCUUUGGGUCCAUAAUUAUGCACUUAAGAAAAUUUAUACUAUGAUGACAAUUAUUGCAUCAUUUAGGUUUGAAACCCUUGCAUUGAGCUAGUAUUGAGGUCAAUGGCUGUUCUGUCUUACAGGAACAGGCAAAUGAUUUACUUUGCUAUCCCAAGGAGCAGAUGCUGAUCUCAUAAGAGCUAAGGAUGCGUCAUUUCUAGCAUUAGUUCCCAUUUCUGCAAUAGAAGUUUUGUGAUGGGAUAGCGGCAAUUUUUUAUUUUAUUUUAUUUUAU